AUUGAACGCUGGCGGCAGGCCUAACACAUGCAAGUCGAGCGGAGCGGCGGACGGGCGGGUAAUGCCUAGGAGUCGGCCUGGUCGUGAGGGAUAACGUCCGGCAACGGGCGCUAAUACCGCAUGCUAUCAGAUGAGCCUAGGUGGGAUUAGCUAGUUGGUGGGGUAAAGGCCUACCAAGGCGACGAUCCGUACCUGGUCUGAGAGGAUGAUCAGUCACACUGGAACUGAGACACGGUCCAGACUCCUACGGGAGGCAGCAGUGGGGAAUAUUGGACAAUGGGCGAAAGCCUGAUCCAGCCAUGCCGCGUGUGUGAAGAAGGUCUUCGGAUUGUAAAGCACUUUAAGUUGGGAGGCGUUACCAACAGAAGAAGCACCGGCUAACUCCGUGCCAGCAGCCGCGGUAAUAC
rnacentral:rRNA from 1 species